rnacentral:rRNA from 1 species
UACCAGCUCUCCGAGUGGUGUGGAUGUUUAUUGGGCCUAAAGCAUCCGUAGCUGGCUGGACAAGUCCCCUGCUAAAUCCACCGAUUUAAUCGUUGGAGUGCGGGGGAUACUGUUCGGCUAGGGGACGGGAGAGGCAGACGGUAUUUUCGGGGUAGGGGUGAAAUCCUAUAAUCCCGGGAAGACCACCAGUGGCGAAGGCUGUCUGCUAGAACGCGCCCGACGGUGAGGGAUGAAAGCUGGGGGAGCGAACCGGAUUUGAUACCCGGGUAGUCCCAGCUGUAAACGAUGCAGGCUAGGUGUUUGGGCGGCCACGUGCCGCUCUAGUGCCGCAGGGAAGCCGUUAAGCCUGCCGCCUGGGGAGUACGGCCGCAAGGCUGAAACUUAAAGGAAUUGGCGGGGGAGCACCACAAGGGGUGAAGCUUGCGGUUU